UACAGAGGGUGCGAGCGUUGUCCGGAAUCACUGGGCGUAAAGGGCGCGUAGGCGGUCCGGUAAGCGUGUGGUGAAAGCUCGGGGCUCAACCCCGAGUCGGCCAUGCGAACUGCGGGACUGGAGCAUGUCAGAGGCAGGCGGAAUUCCGGGUGUAGCGGUGGAAUGCGUAGAGAUCCGGAGGAACACCAAUGGCGAAGGCAGCACUCUGGGACGGUACUGACGCUGAGACGCGAAAGCGUGGGGAGCAAACAGG
rnacentral:rRNA from 1 species